CGUAUGCAAUCUACCUUAUACGAGGGGAAUACGCCCAGAAGUAAAUUUGGAUUAAUCGCCCCAUAGUGUUAUCGAAUCGCAUGGUUUGAUUAUUAAAGUUCCAACGGUAAAAGAUGAGUAUGCGUCCCAUUAGCUAGAUGGUAAGGUAACGGCUUACCAUGGCAACGAUGGGUAGGGGUCCUGAGAGGGAGAUCCCCCACACUGGUACUGAGACACGGACCAGACUCCUACGGGAGGCAGCAGUGAGGAAUAUUGGACAAUGGGCGCAAGCCUGAUCCAGCCAUGCCGCGUGCAGGAAGACGGUCCUAUGGAUUGUAAACUGCUUUAUACAGGAAGAAACACUCGGACGUGUCCGAACUUGACGGUACUGUAUGAAUAAGCAUCGGCUAACUCCGUG
rnacentral:rRNA from 1 species